AUAUAAAUGAUGAAGAAAACGACUAAAAUUGGAACGAUACAGAGAAGAUUAGGAUGGCCCCUGCGCAAGGAUGACACGCAAAUUCGUGAAGCGUUCCAUAUUUUC